rnacentral:piRNA from 1 species
UCCAUACGGGAGAAAGACCUUACAUGUGCA